AUUUCCAGCGGUAUAAGGAGGAAUAUUGAUUGCGGAGGAGCAGUGCCAACGAUGCCCAGUUCCUCCGACCUUGGCUGGCAAUGGCUGGGAGAGCGGGGCACCUAUAGCGAGGCAGGCCGGAGGCGGGGUGUUGUAAUGGACGAAUAAAAUACACUCCCCAGCCUUUUGUACAGAGUGGCUCAACGAUUCCUAUAAAGGAUUUCAAUGGAGCGAGCGCACCAAGCGACGAAAAAAACUUGGAGAAUGCUGUUUCACCGACGUUUUUAUGGAUCCUUAGACAUUUUUCGUGAGUGACCGGUACUUCAGAAGGCGAGACGAGUGCACACCAGCGGUGCAACCUGGCACAGCUUACAGAGGAGGGGCGAGCCAAUAUAACGUGGUUGUGAAAGCGAAUCCUCCACUUUUUGGGAUUGCUCACUCACCCCACUCCUCAGUUGACUGGCAUACGAUACGAGGCCGUGGCCAGCAAUUUUGUGUCGGAACGCACCAGGAAUUGAUUCCGGAUGAAUGCGGUGAAAGAAGACAACAGCAACAGCAACCAGUCGAAAAGACAGCCAUACAUUGAAGUCUAAAGCGCACUACUCAAGCCACCAUUAAGCUUUUACUGAGGAGAAAUUUUGAAGCCGUGACAGCAUCUGCCAUCAAGUCGAGAGAGCGAAGUUUUUUAAGUUGUAUUUACUUCUUCGACAAGGACUGGCCAGUUCUUCAGACACUGCAGUGCUCACACUGUCAUUGUGGAGCGAGAGAUCUACCUAACAUUUCUCGUCGCGAUCUCACGAAAUGCCAUGCUCUGGAGCUAAAUGCCGAUUCUUCUCGAAAGCAAGAAAGAUUGAUUCAAGGACCGAGCUCUACCAUACGGACGACUUACAAAUGCCUGAGUAAGCAGCGGAUCGUUAACUUUUAAAUGCUCGUCCAGCCCCCCAUGUAAGCCGUGAACACAACGAUCACAGAGCUUGAAAGGCAAAUCCUUUUCGAGCUUAUUCUUUCUGAUUUUGGUGCUUCUCUCAAUG